GACCGUAGGUGGUGGGUCGUUUUCCACGCUUCUUUUGUUGUACAGCACCAGGUGAAAAGACUGUAGUAGGUUUCCUUUGUGUGGUUGUGCUGACCCCUGUGAAUUCCCCAAAUGCGGGAAUCUCAACUGCAUAAUUUGUGGUAGUGGGGGACUGCGUUCGCGCUCUCCCUCA
ensembl:snRNA U1 U1 spliceosomal RNA